GUAAACUAGAUGUCAAUUCUCAAAAGAUAUUCUUUUGAAAUUUACUUUAUAUACUAUAAUCAUUCAUCUGAUUGAUAUUUAACAUCACAGACCGUGACAGGAAAAUUAAACGAUUGCAAAAUGAUUGUGUAGAGCUGGUUAUCUCAUGGCAAUCAAAUGGCAGUAUAACCUAAACCGCUGUCGCAUGCACAGUUUAAAAAGUUACAUCAACGCAUGCGCGGUGGGCGUAAAAACGCGGGAAAACACACUUGACAUAAACAAAAACAAAUGAUUUAUUGAUUUUUAUUUUUAUUGCUACCUGUGUUGUAAAAACUGUGAUAUGUUGUCAUUAAAAUAGAUAAAAUAUAUCUAUUUAAUAUAAGCAUUUUUAUUUGAAAAAUAUACAUAAGUGUAUAAUAAUGGAUUUCCCAUUAAGAUAAAUAUAUUAACUGUUAAAUUGUGUUAGUUUUCGCAGACAAUUAUGAAGUGUGUCUAAAAUAAAUGAUUUUAUCACGCAAAGAAACUCCAAGUAUGACACUCUCCAUUGCUCGCUGAGCAACUUGAAGCUUCUGCAUACCGCAACAUUUUAUAAUGAUAUUGAAAGUGUAAUUGCAUAUAUUAUUUACUCCAAUGUCUAGCUACAUUUACACACGACACCGCAGCUCGAAUAUAUAGUCGAAUUGUGUAAAUUUCGACUAUAGUAUAUUCUCGAACAGAAACACAUUACUGCAAUAAAAAAUUUUGCCCAUAGAA
rnacentral:lncRNA from 1 species